rnacentral:rRNA from 1 species
GAUGAACGCUGGCGGCGUGCCUAAUACAUGCAAGUCGAGCGAACAGACGAGGAGCUUGCUCCUCUGGCGUUAGCGGCGGACGGGUGAGUAACACGUGGAUAACCUACCUAUAAGACUGGGAUAACUUCGGGAAACCGGCGCUAAUACCGGAUAAUGUAUUGAACCGCAUGGUUCAAUAGUGAAAGACGGUUUUGCUGUCAAUUAUAGAUGGAUCCGCGCCGCAUUAGCUAGUUGGUAAGGUCACGGCUUACCAAGGCAACGAUUCGUAGCCGACCUGAGAGGGUGAUCGGCCACACUGGAACUGAGACCCGGUCCAGACUCCUACGGGAGGCAGCAGUAGGGAAUCUUCCGCAAUGGGCGGAAGCCUGACGGAGCAACGCCGCGUGAGUGAUGAAGGUCUUCGGAUCGUAAAACUCUGUUAUUAGGGAAGAACAAGUGUGUAAGUAAAUAGGCACGUCUUGACGGUACCUAAUCAGAAAGCCACGGCUAACUACGUG